GACGAACGCUGGCGGCGUGCUUAGCACAUGCAAGUCGAACGGGCCCGCUCUCUUUUUUGGGGGUGGGUUGAGUGGCGAACGGGUGAGUAUCACGUGAGUAACCUGCCCCCUGCUCCUGGAUAACUGCUUGAAAGGGCGGCUAAUACGGGGUGUGCCGGCUGGUCCGCAUGGGCCUGGUCGGGAUAGUUUCAUCUUCGGGUGUUUCGGUGGGGGAUGGGCUCGCGGCCUAUCAGCUUGUUGGUGGGGUGAUGGCCCACCAAGGCGGUGACGGGUAGCCGGCCUGGGAGGGUGGGCGGCCACACUGGGACUGAGACACGGCCCAGACUCCUGCGGGAGGCAGCAGUGGGGGGUAUUGCACAAUGGACGGAAGCCUGAUGCAGCGACGUCGCGUGAGGGAUGGAGGCCUUCGGGUUGUGAACCUCUUUCUCCGGUGGUGAAGGCCCUGUCCGGUGCGGCGGGGUUGACGGUAGCCGGGUAUGAAGCGCCGGCUAACUACGUG
rnacentral:rRNA from 1 species